AGAGAAUACACCAUCUGUGAAGGAGUCCUCCCCUCCCCAAUUACCUGUGUAUCCCACCAAGGAUGAGUCAGGGACCUGGCCACCCUCACAUUGCUCAUUCCAGACAGAGCAGGGUAGGGAAUUGUGUCAAAUAAAGACAGCAGUGCUAAUGGCAUCCCAAGGAAAUGAAGUGGAAAACCGCACGACUGAGGCAGCUUCGUGGAACGCUUUUAUCAGAGGCCCCAGGAAGAACUCCCUGGCAGACAGAAGUCUGAUUUCCUUGGAAAGAUGGAAAAUGCAAGCCAUGCAUUGCAUGGAUUUGUUCAUCAUCGUGUCCUCAGAGUCAGGAACUGUGCCUGGGACAGGAUGGACAAAGCUUCCAGUUUGACCAGCAAGGCAGAAGGCAGAGCUACACACCUCACCAUGCUAGUGGAUGCCUGAGGAGAACUGCUUUACACACGUGUGGAGCUGAUCAGGCAGGCCGUUAAGAUGGUGUCUCACCUCUGGUAGGGUCCACCUACCAGGCCCUCAGGAGGCAGCGGGCAUGGAGGGGACAGGAACCCACACUUGCGCUGGCACCCCGGGAUGCCAGAUUGGACUCCAGGCUCCUCUCGCUGCCUCUGAUCACAGUGACCAGGGCAGCCUGCAGAGGCUAAGCCCUCCCUCACCCUGCUACAGGCAGCAGGUGGCCAGGGCCAGGGGACAGAGGAGGGCUUGUAGCCUGUUCCGCAGUCCGCAGCUCGCUAGCCAGGCGUUCAGCUCCGAGGCACGCAGUG